CUUUCGCUUGCCAAUUUUGGCUGAUUGUGACAAUUAUGCUCUUCAAUUGUUGGCCUUAUGUACUGCUGUGGUUGCCCAUAAUUGUAAUUUACCACUUUCCCCACGUGGCACGAUGUUCUCACUUGAUGACUUUCCACAGUAUCAAAAAGAACACGCCAUCCCAUUUUGCAGAUGGCGACAACCACGAAGAAAACCCUCCUCUUCCCACCUCCUUCGCUAUUUCUCUCUGUUCCGCCUCUGCCCAACUUCCUCCGCCUCGCUCCGGACUCCGGAGACCACCUUCUGUGGCCUCCUCUUGAGACGAUACUGCUCGAUGGAGAAAGGUUCAUGGAUCGAUGGCUCGUGCUGGUAAGGUGAAAGGCCAAACCCCGAAGGUGGCCAAACAGGACAAGAAGAAGAAGCCAAGUGGCAGGGCUCACAAACGCAUGCAGUACGACCGUCGCUUCAUUACCGCCAAUAAUCAUCUUUUAAUAUUUUAGUUUCUGAUGUUUUCCCCCUUCUUGAUUUCUAUUGCAUGUUAGUACUGAUGGUUUCAUUGUUUCGAAAUCAUAGAGUACGUCUGAUUUGUUGAUUUUGUGCCAGUUUUUUCAGAAAUUCCUCUGUUUGAUAUGCUUGGCUGGUUUUGAUGUUUUUUCCCUUCUUCAUUUCUGUUGCAUGCUUGCUUUUUCCCCUUUCUUGAUUUCUGUUGCAUGUUAGUAUUGAGGGUCUUGAUGUAGGGUUUUUCAGAAAUUUCACUAUCUGGUAUACUUGAUUGGUUUGGUAAGUGCAGUAUUAGAAAGUGAGGAG